rnacentral:rRNA from 1 species
UACAGAGGUCCCAAGCGUUGUUCGGAUUCACUGGGCGUAAAGGGUGCGUAGGCGGCUUAACAAGUCACUUGUGAAAUCUCCGGGCUUAACUCGGAACGGCCAAGUGAAACUGUCAAGCUAGAGUGCAGAAGGGGCAAUCGGAAUUCUUGGUGUAGCGGUGAAAUGCGUAGAUAUCAAGAGGAACACCUGAGGUGAAGACGGGUUGCUGGGCUGACACUGACGCUGAGGCGCGAAAGCCAGGGGAGCAAACGGG